UGAGGAAUAUUGCACAAUGGGCGCAAGCCUGAUGCAGCAACGCCGCGUGCGGGACGAAGGCCUUCGGGUCGUAAACCGCUUUUCUGGGGGAAGAGCAAGGACGGUACCUCAGGAAUAAGUCUCGGCUAACUACGUGCCAGCAGCCGCGGUAAAACGAAGGAGGCGAGCGUUAUCCGGAUUUACUGGGCGUAAAGCGCCCGCAGGCGGCUCUGUUAGUCGGACGUGAAAGCUCUCGGCUUAACCGGGAGAGGCCGUUGGAUACUGCGGUGCUUGAGGUAGUGAGAGGAAUGCGGAAUUCCCGGUGUAGUGGUGGAAUGCGUAGAUAUCGGGAGGAACACCUGUGGCGAAAGCGGCAUUCUGGCCCUCACCUGACGCUGAGGUGCGAAAGCGUGGGUAGCAAACA
rnacentral:rRNA from 1 species